UACGUAGGGGGCAAGCGUUGUCCGGAAUUAUUGGGCGUAAAGCGCGCGCAGGCGGUUCUUUAAGUCUGGUGUCUAAGUGCGGGGCUCAACCCCGUGUCGCACUGGAAACUGGGGAACUUGAGUGCAGAAGAGGAGAGCGGAAUUCCACGUGUAGCGGUGAAAUGCGUAGAUAUCGGGAGGAACACCUGUGGCGAAAGCGGCGCACUGGACCAUAACUGACGCUGAUGCGCGAAAGCUAGGGGAGCAAACAGG
rnacentral:rRNA from 1 species